GAGUCACCUAAAGAGCCAGACUUUAACAAAGUGUUUUUAUCUAGUGAGAGAAAUGACCACAGGCAUCUUGCUAUGACCAGUCAUUAAAAACAAUGUCAAUUGUCCUUUUCCUAAAGGAUGUAAUUUCAUGCAAACCUAAAUGUGUUAACAAAAGCUGAGUCUUCUAUUUUGUUGUUUUUAUUUUACAUUUAUAGGCUAUAGGAGUCUUGAAUUAGUGGGUUUUUUUAGUUACUAAAACGAUAAUAAUUUUUAGUAUUUCUAAUACUCAAUAAUUCUUAAAGAAUAUGUGGUGCUUAUUUUUAUUUCACAAUUUCCCUGGAAUUUCUGACAAGAUAAAACUUUCUGCAGGAUUUGGUGGAUGUGUUUCUCCUUGGCUUGGCAGCUCUGUUGAUGCCUCGCAUGAUAACAUUUUGAGGUUUUGAGGAAGGAAUCUAGAUUUGCCCAGGUGUAUCUUGAUGGGCUUUGUGUCUGGAUGUGUUCAGACAAACUUCAAUGACAUUUCCAUCAAUUUCUUACUUCCUGGAAGGAUCAACCAUCUUUCAAAAUUCAAUUAGAAACUUCAGUCAAAUUCCUUGCCUUUGUUGCCAAAAUUGUCACGAAUACCCAUCAGAGAGUGCUGACAACCACGCUGUUCUAAAGUGAAAAUGUCUACAGCCUUGGUUUUGGUUGGCUUUACUAAAUAGAUUUUUCUCCUUUAGGAAGGAUCAUUAUCACAUCACUACUCCUGUUUCCCUCCUUUACAGCCCAAAGCAUGCCUUUGUGUUAUGUCCCCAGCAUUCCACAGGGUGGGUGGGUACACAUCUUGACGCACAAGCAUGCCACCAUGUUUUGGGUACAUCUGUGUCCAUGUUUUCAAGACCCUCCUCAGGCAAUAGGGGACCUACGCCUCACAUAACUCACAUAAAGAAAAAUGCAAAUGUAGGAACCCACCUCCCCCAUUAAAGAGCAGCAUCCUCUUCCAAGGAAGGCUGCUUGCCAAAGAAAUAGUUCAUAUUUUCUUGAGUUUAAUUCAGGUUGUCAUUCAAUGAUCUUUUUAAAUUAAAUUUUAUAUGAUAAUAGUAGCUACUCUAAUUGAGGAACCUACUGAGUGUUUGAUUCCUCUGUUUUGUAUCUUAGGUAAAUGAUCUCCAAAUUUCAAUAAUUCUUUGAUGUUAUUUGUUAUUAUUUAUUUUAGUAAUUUUUAAGUUUUGAAAUAAAUUAAUAGUAAAAUAAAUUGUUUUAAUUUUUUAAUUGUAUUAUUUAUUUAUUAUUUGGGGGCAUUCUCCAUUUGUGAAUAAACAUAGCCUCAGAGAAGUAAAGGAAUUGGUCCAAGGUCAUGCAACCAGUAAUGGUGCAGAGUAGGAUUGCAAACCCAGGAUUUCUGAGUCCCUGCCCAGUGUUAGAUUUUAUAUUGAACAACUUGGGGUACCAUCUUCUAUGCUCCCAGCCCACCUUGUACCCCAGUCACAGCAGUGGCAGCCAGUCUUGCACAGGGAGAGCCUGCAGUGCCUCCUGCAGCCAUAUGGCAUAGAGAGGUCCGCUGACACAGUGACAGGGGCCUGGCAUUCACACAUGGGAAGUCACAAGUGUUGGGAGUUCAUUCUGUCACCACAAGAAGCUGAUCGAUAAAGGCUUUCUCCUCCCAUUCUCUGGGACAAUUCUGGAGUCUGUCUGACAACUCCUUAGAAAGUGCCAGUGGGAUCAAGCUCAUUACUCAUAUUGACAGCUGGCUCAAAAAUGCACCCUUGAAUUGUUUCUGUCUUGCAGUCUUAUCUCUUAUUUCCUAGAACAACUUCUGAAAGAGAAAAAAGUCUUUGUCUCAGUUUCUGCUCUCCAGAGGUAACCCAAAGAGGUAAGGAACCCAGUGAGAAAGACAGAGAGAAGUAUGGACAAGAAACAGAUCCUAAACCUGUUUUGUUUUAUUUUUGGUAGUAGUUGUUUAUUUUUGAAAACAUUCAAACCACCUGUAUUGGUGGCUGUUAUUAUGAAAUAAAUAAACUGAGAAACAACAAGACAAUUUGGCCUCUACAAUUUGUUUAGUUUUGACUAAGUAUUUGCCUUGGAAGAAGUAUGUGUACAAUACUCAUUUUUAAAAGAUGCAACAGUCACCUCGUUACUUGGAGUUUUACUUGAGACUUGAAUGGACUGAAACCACCUGGUCACCACUAGAAGCUACAUCAAGGAAAAGAAAGGCAACAUAUUGAAUCUCUUGGGAGAAACUCAUCCUGUAUCUGCUCGAUUGAAAACAUGAAGGUGCACAUUCCAAGCUGCAUAUGCUCAGGUCCGAGUUUCCAAGGAAACAAGGGACUGCUCAUCUAUCUGCAAAACUGAACUGACGAGUCACUUUCAGCUUGUUACAAACCUUGAUUCUGAAUCAAAUUCUAGUGUGCAGUCUAAAAAUUCUCACUGCCUUGUCAUUUCUGCCGAGCAAACCCCUGAUGCUAUGAGGCUGGCAGUUGGGCAGGGAUUUUCCUGGGUUGUGCACUCUAAUUUUUUCCUCUGCACUGUUAGUGAAAUACUGUCAUUGAGAACCAGCUCCACACUGCACCUAUGUGAGAAAGGCCUUGGUUUCUAUCAGUAAAGUCAGACAGGGCUAUGUGCAUUUGGGAUGCCCUGGUCAACCAUACAGGAGGAAGCACAGUGGUCUUCCCAGCUCUCACAGUGGCCACCAGCUCUCAGGCUCACAAACUAGGCAAAGCAAAGAGCAACAGAACAACCUACUUCCCAACUUUCAUUAGUCACUCAAAUCCAAGUGGGUGAUCGUAUUUCUGAAGGUCUUGAAUACAGGACUUCCUGACCAUUCUUUAGCAUUUACUGAUGAAAGUAUUUCAGAUGUGUUAUGUUGUUUGGCAUGUGUUAUGUUGUUUGGCAAUCACAGUAAGUGUUGAGAUAGAUACUAUGAUUAUCUUCAUUCUCUAGGAACAGGCACAGAGAGGUUAAGUAAUUUCCCAAAGGUCACACAGUUUGUAAGUGAUAAAACUGAUUUGAAGCCAAACUAUGUCACCCCAAACUCAUAUUUUUAACACUUUAUUCCAUCUUCUAAAAGGCUGGCUAUUCUAUUUUUCUCUAAGUUUCAAAUUAGUAUGCCCAUUCCCUUGUUCAUUCAUUCAUUCAUCCAACAAACAUGUGUCAGGCAUCUAUGCCAGGCUCUGUGGAUAUAGUAUAAUAACAAACAAGACAGAUAAGAUUUCUCAGGGAGCUUACGUUUUGUAGAGGAGACUAAAUAAAUAAGCAAGCACAAACAAUGUAGAGUUUGUAAUAUUACCUAUCCCAGCAAAGGAAACCAACACUAGUGUGAGAAAAUUAAAUUAUAAAAGACCCUAACAUUUUCAAGAUACUGAAGGGGAUGAGAUGAAGCAGAGGUAGAGUGGGGCUGGAUUAUGCUGAAACACAUAGAACAGACUGGAUUCUAUUUUAAGUGAGGUGAUAAAUUCUUAAGGGUUUGUCAUUUUUGAGGUAGAACUGUCUUUUGUUCCUAUUGUAAAGAAACUACAUAGGUAGGCAUAAAAUACACCUGUAUGCCAGAGAUAGAAAAAUUCAUAUAAUUCCCAACUCCAAUUCUAUUUCUCUAGGAUAAUUUUAAUUGUGUAUAUGAAACAUAUCUCAAUGUUCUUGAAAGACUGAAAUCCACUCUUUUUAUUAUUUAUUGACUUAUUGAUUUGUGGUUAAGGAAAAAGUAGACUGAAGUAAAAAUAAAGAGUGCAGGAGUAUAAUUGCACAAGAAGUGGGAGGGAGACUUGUUGAACAGGCAACAGCCUAAAGUGAGUAUCCAUGAGUGGGCUCAGUAUGACCCUGCAGCUCCCCCAUCACACUUGCACCCACCUCAAGGAAUCCAGUUCACCUCUAUGGAAAAUCCCUGGGCUCCACGGGACAGAGUCUUGUUUUGUUUUACAUCUGUGUGUCCAUGCCUAGCCAGUAUCUUGUUUAGUGCAGCCUUUCCAUAAUAUUUGUGGAGAGAAAGAAAAAUGAAAGGAAGAAGAGAGGGAGGGGAAAAAGAAAGUGAGAGGAAAGAAGAAAGGUAAAAAGGAAGUAGCACUCUUGGUUUUGCUUCUCCUUGGCUGUUUCGUUAUUCUCAGUACUCCCCAACCCAUCUUCCUGGGAUAAGAAAAAAAAAAGACAUCUAAAAUGACACUUCCAAAAGAUUAAUAUUUUCAUUUCAACACUUCUGAAAGUAUUUCAAUGAAAUUGCUUUCAAAUGGUUUAUUUUAUAUUAGAUCAUUGAGAGAUAGAUUAAUGUCAUAAACGUAGGUACUAGCAAGCAAUAUUUUUGUCUCCUAUGUGCACAUAUUGUAUAUUUCAUAUCCUCUGAUAACUUGAAGUCACUAAUUUAAGUCAAAUUAGGGAAAGGGCAGUAUAGUAAUUGCAAUAUUUUCGGCUCCUUCUUGGUAACAAAUGCAGCUUCUUUUUUCCCCUCCACCCAUAUAUGAGUCUUCUUUUUCUUUGGCUAAGAUAUAAUAGCACUGCUCUACAUGAACAAAACUAUUUUUACUGGCUAUGUUAUUA
ensembl:lncRNA LINC01828 long intergenic non-protein coding RNA 1828